UAGGGAGCGAGCGUUAUCCGGAAUUAUUGGGUGUAAAGGGUGCGUAAACGGGUUAGCAAGUUAGUUGUGAAAUCCCUCGGCUUAACUGAGGAACUGCAACUAAAACUACUAAUCUUGAGUGCAGGAGAGGUAAGUGGAAUUCCUAGUGUAGCGGUGAAAUGCGUAGAUAUUAGGAGGAACACCAGUGGCGAAGGCGACUUACUGGACUGUAACUGACGUUGAGGCACGAAAGUGUGGGGAGCAAA
rnacentral:rRNA from 1 species